ACCUCUAUUUCUCCUAUUAGUUCAACAGAAAACUAGAGGCUCUAAAGAGCCUGUGUCGCUCACCUUGGUCUAUGUGAAUAUUAAACAAUGGACACAGAUGGAUUCAUGACAAAAUUGUGUUUUGGUGAUGGUGAUGUGUUUGUAGAUCUUACUUUACUAAUCAUUCUUGCUGCUUACAAUUAUCUCUACCUAUAACAGUACUUUCUGUGGAAAAUGUUAUUGAAAAUCUUCAAAUUUUAAGAAAAUUGUUAAAAAUUGACUAUGAAGGGCAAUAACUCCUUAGGGGGUCAAUUGACUAUUUUGGUCAUUGUGACUUAUUUUUAGUUCUUACUUUGCUGUACAUCAUUGCUGUUUACAGUUUAUCUCUAUCUAUAAUAAUAUUCAAGAUAACAAAAAAAA
rnacentral:lncRNA from 1 species